AACAAGUCGUGCUUGCCUGGAGGACCUGAUCUGGGAUUCUCUGAGGAUUCCCACAUCAUACAAACAUUGUGCUUCUUUAGGCUGUAUGAAUGGGCUCUUGCUUAAGCAACUGUAUAAACACAGAAUGAGGCACAAUCUCCAGACAAGCAAUGGGAUUACUGCAUCAAACAAAAGGAUAACAGGGGUGGGGGCAUGAUCACUGCUGUAUUGGCGCCCACACAGCUGGGCUUCUCCGUAGCACCAGGUUGAAGGGGCGUGCUUACCGGAGUGUUGUGGAUGGCAGCCGGGCUCCUCUGUGGCACCAGGUCGAAC
rnacentral:lncRNA from 1 species